ensembl:snRNA U6 U6 spliceosomal RNA
GUGCUCACUUUGGCAGCACAUAAGCUAAAAUUAAGAUUAGCAUGGCCCCUGCACAAGGAUGACAUGCAAAUUCAUGAAGCAUUCCAUAUAUAU